CUACGGGAUGCUCCAGUGAGGAAUAUUGCACAAUGGGGGGAACCCUGAUGCAGCAACGCCGCGUGGAGGAUGACGCAUUUCGGUGUGUAAACUCCUUUUAUAUGUCAAGAAAAUGACGGUAGCAUAUGAAUAAGCACCGGCUAGACUCCGUGCCAGCAGCCGCGGUAAUACGGAGGGUGCAAGCGUUACUCGGAAUCACUGGGCGUAAAGGACGCGUAGGCGGGUUGGAAAGUCAGGUGUGAAAUCCUACAGCUUAACUGUAGAACUGCACUUGAAACUUCUAAUCUAGAGUAUGGGAGGGGGAGAUGGAAUUAGUGGUGUAGGGGUAAAAUCCGUAGAUAUCACUAGGAAUACCUAAAGCGAAGGCGAUCUCCUGGAACAUCACUGACGCUAAGGCGUGAAAGCGUGGGGAGCAAACAGGAUUAGAUACCCGAGUAGUC
rnacentral:rRNA from 1 species